rnacentral:rRNA from 1 species
CGGCGGCGUCUAGCCCCUAAACCUCUUCUAAAGGUUGACCUCGGAUCAGGUAGGAAUACCCGCUGAACUUAAGCAUAUCAA